rnacentral:lncRNA from 1 species
UGUGGGGUUCUGGGGUUCUAGCCUAUUGCAGAAUGUGAGUGUUGGUUUUCCUUUCUUGUAGCAAAGCUGCCUUCUGGGCCCUGUACACAGGGAGCCAGAGGCCCAAAGCGCUGCUCAAUGGAGACAAUUCCCAGGUUCUAACCGGGAGCUGGAGCAAGAAAGUGUGUCAUCUCUGACGUAAAAGUGUCGGACACCAGAUUACCUGUAAAUACACUGUGUUGCCCUCCUUCGUGACCUGAAUGAAACUACUCUCUUUUAUCUCUUCAAACCAAAGGUUUUCUUCACGUCUGCAAAGGAGAUGAAAGAACAGGUGUCACCUGCCCAGGCUGAAUUUGAAGGGUUCGAACUGCAGGCCUCAAAAGACCCUUUACUCUAACCUCAUACAUGGGCACUGAAGAACACUGAAGGGCUUCCAUAUUACAGUAUCAAGAUUUAUUGGCUGUGAAAAGGGGGCCCAAAUUAAGUUCCUUCUCUUAACUGCUUCACUUUGGAAUGGAGAACUGAUAAU